rnacentral:rRNA from 1 species
UACAGAGGGUGCGAGCGUUAAUCGGAAUUACUGGGCGUAAAGCGUGCGUAGACGGUCAUGUAAGUCGGAUGUGAAAGCCCCGGGCUCAACCUGGAAAUUGCAUUCGAGACUGCAUGGCUUGGGUGCGGAAGAGGGAAGCGGAAUUUCCGGUGUAGCGGUGAAAUGCGUAGAUAUCGGAAGGAACACCAGUGGCGAAAGCGGCUUCCUGGUCCGACACCGACGUUCAGGCACGAAAGCGUGGGGAGCAAACAGG